rnacentral:rRNA from 1 species
CUACGUGCCAGCAGCCGCGGUAAUACGGAAGGUCCAGGCGUUAUCCGGAUUUAUUGGGUUUAAAGGGAGCGUAGGCCGUGGAUUAAGCGUGUUGUGAAAUGUAGACGCUCAACGUCUGAAUUGCAGCGCGAACUGGUUCACUUGAGUAUGCACAACGUAGGCGGAAUUCGUCGUGUAGCGGUGAAAUGCUUAGAUAUGACGAAGAACUCCGAUUGCGAAGGCAGCUGACGGGAGCGCAACUGACGCUUAAGCUCGAAGGUGCGGGUAUCGAMCAGGAUUAGAUACCCUGGUAGUCCGCMCAGUAAACGAUGGAUGCCCGCUGUUGGUACCUGGUAUCGGCGGCUAAGCGAAAGCAUUAAGCAUCCCACCUGGGGAGUACGCCGGCAACGGUGAAACUCAAAGGAAUUGACGGGGGCCCGCACAAGCGGAGGAACAUGUGGUUUAAUUCGAUGAUACGCGAGGAACCUUACCCGGGCU